UUCGCCUCUCGCCUAGGGUAAACUCUGCUGUCCUGUACAUGGGCCAGUUGGUGCAUACUACCUUUGUCAAUCCGGCCCAUAAUUCACUAAGCGGAACCUAGGCCUCUUAACUCUCAGCCCUAUAAAAAAAGGGCCGUUAGCUCUAAAAUUAACCGACAGUGCUGAAAUCCUACGGACGGGUUAGUUUCCAAUUCGAUCUGAACCUGCUCUUCAGUGUUUUUUUUUGAAGCGAUGUCUGCCCUGAACAGAACACUAGAGUAAAUGCCACUAAAUGCCAAUUACGAAUUCCACAGCUGGAUGAGUACGUACGUCAGGCACACCGAUGCGUCUCUGGUACUCCAGUAGUAUCCUGCAUCGCACAGCUGCGUCCCAAGGAUGAUCCAGGUGACCGCUCAAAGACUAACACUGACAGCUUCAGGUACUACUCCUAUCUCCAGUAAAAAAAAAAAUGACAGCUUCCUUCAGGUAGCCAAGCCAAGCUACUGCUAGCCCACAGUAAAUUUUGUGUCAAGUCACACCUCGCACCGCAUCGCAUCCGGUCGCCAUGAAUCGCGUAAUUACUCCCGCUGUACGUACUAAUUACGGCACAAACCUGAGACGCAUUUACCAUAGGGACUGUAUGACAAUAAGUAAGCUCACGCAACGCAAGCGUAUGUAUAGGGUCAUGACUCGGCCGUGACACACACACACAGUGGUCAGCGAUCGAUUUAUGCAUUUGGAGUUAUGGAUCUUAUGAAUGACCGUCUGGUCCAGAAACCAUUCGUCAGAAGGAAAUUGUAUACAGAAAUUGACAGUAGAACCAUGAUACUCCUAUACUAGUGUACUACAGUCUACAGAAUCCGGAUUAGUUUAAUCCUAGGCUGCCAACUCUGAAGAACAGAAAGAAAAGAAAUGGAUUCCAUUCCAGAGUUAGCACCAUGCAUGAUAAAUAUACUUGCUCAACUUCAGGACCAUCGUAUUUGUUUUCCAUUUCCAGUGUGGUCACUCC
rnacentral:lncRNA from 1 species